UGUUGCCACCACAACAUAUUCUUUGGCCCCGGCAGACUCAUUAUACAUCACCCACGCUGAGUUCGUCAAGCAGUCGAUCUCCACGUCUGACAGCUGGGGUACGCAGGGAACUGGAGGCAACCAGGGACAGAGUCAGGUGACAGAUACGACGCCAGUGCCACAGUUCACAUUAGAAAGGAAGGAUGAGGGAGCGCAGGGAGCUGAGUGGAACGGCAGAAAAAGAGGAGAAGUUGAGGUAAAGACUGAAGGCCAGGUUAAGGAAGUCACAGUUGGUGUCGGUGUUGUUACACUGAGCGUUGUAGCCCAGACUGCCCCGAGCAUAGACGGUGUAAGAUGUGGCACCCAGCGCAGCAUCCCAUGUGACCACAGUGAUGCCGGUGUUGCAGUCCACCUUUGCUGUGACGUGUGUGGGAACGCAUGGAGCUGAUGGAGGACAGAAACAGGUGAUGAAGACUGCAGGGCUGGAUGGAUAGCUGGGUCCAGCCUCAUUUGAGGCAGUGACUUGGAUGGUGUGUACCUCUCCACACCCCACUGCUGAGAGGGUGCAGGAGCUGGAUGUGGUCUUACAAAUUAAG